rnacentral:snRNA from 1 species
GCUAAACAACUUUACUUAAACAA